ACUACGGGCGGCAGCAGUGGGGAAUAUUGGGCAAUGGGCGCAAGCCUGACCCAGCAACGCCGCGUGAAGGAAGAAGGCUUUCGGGUUGUAAACUUCUUUUCUCAGGGACGAAGCAAGUGACGGUACCUGAGGAAUAAGCCACGGCUAACUACGUGCCAGCAGCCGCGGUAAUACGUAGGUGGCAAGCGUUAUCCGGAUUUACUGGGUGUAAAGGGCGUGUAGGCGGGAAAGCAAGUCAGAUGUGAAAACCAUGGGCUCAACCUGUGGCCUGCAUUUGAAACUGUUUUUCUUGAGUACUGGAGAGGCAGACGGAAUUCCUAGUGUAGCGGUGAAAUGCGUAGAUAUUAGGAGGAACACCAGUGGCGAAGGCGGUCUGCUGGACAGCAACUGACGCUGAGGCGCGAAAGCGUGGGGAGCAAACAGGAUUAGAUACCCUAGUAGUC
rnacentral:rRNA from 1 species